UACGGAGGGUGCAAGCGUUAUCCGGAUUCACUGGGUUUAAAGGGUGCGUAGGUGGGCAUGUAAGUCAGUGGUGAAAUCUCCGGGCUUAACCCGGAAACUGCCAUUGAUACUAUAGGUCUUGAAUACCGUGGAGGUAAGCGGAAUAUGUCAUGUAGCGGUGAAAUGCUUAGAUAUGACAUAGAACACCAAUUGCGAAGGCAGCUUACUACCCGAAUAUUGACACUGAGGCACGAAAGCGUGGGGAGCGAACAGG
rnacentral:rRNA from 1 species